rnacentral:rRNA from 1 species
AGUGAACGCUGGCGGUAGGCCUAACACAUGCAAGUCGAACGGCAGCACAGUAAGAGCUUGCUCUUACGGGUGGCGAGUGGCGGACGGGUGAGGAAUACAUCGGAAUCUACUUUUUCGUGGGGGAUAACGUAGGGAAACUUACGCUAAUACCGCAUACGACCUACGGGUGAAAGCAGGGGAUCUUCGGACCUUGCGCGAUUGAAUGAGCCGAUGUCGGAUUAGCUAGUUGGCGGGGUAAAGGCCCACCAAGGCGACGAUCCGUAGCUGGUCUGAGAGGAUGAUCAGCCACACUGGAACUGAGACACGGUCCAGACUCCUACGGGAGGCAGCAGUGGGGAAUAUUGGACAAUGGGCGCAAGCCUGAUCCAGCCAUACCGCGUGGGUGAAGAAGGCCUUCGGGUUGUAAAGCCCUUUUGUUGGGAAGGAAAAGCAGCAGGUUAAUACCCCGCUGUUCUGACGGUACCCAAAGAAUAAGCAUCGGCUAACUUCGUG